UACAGAGGGGGCAAGCGUUGUUCGGAAUUACUGGGCGUAAAGGGCGCGUAGGCGGCCCGCUAAGUCGAACGUGAAAGCCCCGGGCUCAACCUGGGAAUUGCAUUCGAGACUGAAUAGCUAGGGUACGGUAGAGGGAAGUGGAAUUUCCGGUGUAGUGGUGAAAUGCGUAGAUAUCGGAAGGAACAUCAGUGGCGAAAGCGACUUCCUGGACCAGUACCGACGUUCAGGCACGAAAGCGUGGGGAGCAAACAGG
rnacentral:rRNA from 1 species